rnacentral:rRNA from 1 species
CCUACGGGGGGCAGCAGUGAGGAAUAUUGGUCAAUGGGUGAGAGCCUGAACCAGCCAAGUCGCGUGAAGGAUGAAGGAUCUAUGGUUUGUAAACUUCUUUUAUAUGGGAAUAAAGUGAGGAACGUGUUCCUUUUUGUAUGUACCAUAUGAAUAAGCAUCGGCUAACUCCGUGCCAGCAGCCGCGGUAAUACGGAGGAUGCGAGCGUUAUCCGGAUUUAUUGGGUUUAAAGGGUGCGUAGGUGGUUAAUUAAGUCAGCGGUGAAAGUUUGUGGCUCAACCAUAAAAUUGCCGUUGAAACUGGUUGACUUGAGAUGUCGAGAGGUAUGCGGAAUGCGCAGUGUAGCGGUGAAAUGCUUAGAUAUUGCGCAGAACUCCGAUUGCGAAGGCAGCAUACCGGCGGCGAUCUGACGCUGAGGCACGAAAGCGUGGGUAUCGAACAGGAUUAGAUACCCCGGUAGU